GAUGAACGCUGGCGGCGUACUUAACACAUGCAAGUCGAACGGUGAAGCAGGAGCUUGCUCUUGUGGAUCAGUGGCGAACGGGUGAGUAACACGUGAGCAACCUGCCCCUGACUCUGGGAUAAGCGCUGGAAACGGCGUCUAAUACUGGAUAUGUGAUGUGACCGCAUGGUCUGCAUCUGGAAAGAAUUUCGGUUGGGGAUGGGCUCGCGGCCUAUCAGCUUGUUGGUGAGGUAAUGGCUCACCAAGGCGUCGACGGGUAGCCGGCCUGAGAGGGUGACCGGCCACACUGGGACUGAGACACGGCCCAGACUCCUACGGGAGGAAGCAGUGGGGAAUAUUGCACAAUGGGCGCAAGCCUGAUGCAGCGACGCCGCGUGAGGGAUGACGGCCUUCGGGUUGUAAACCUCUUUCAGCUAUGACGAAGCGCAAGUGACGGUAGUAGCAGAAGAAGGACCGGCCAACUACGUGCCAGCCGCCGCCGUAA
rnacentral:rRNA from 1 species